AGAGCGAACGCUGGCGGCAUGCUUAACACAUGCAAGUCGCACGGGCACUUCGGUGUCAGUGGCGGACGGGUGAGUAACGCGUAGGUAUCUAUCUUUGGGUGGGGGACAACUGUGGGAAACUACAGCUAAUACCGCAUGAUAACUGAGGUUUAAAGGCGCAAGUCGCCUGAGGAGGAGCCUGCGUACGAUUAGCUAGUUGGUGGGGUAAAGGCCUACCAAGGCGACGAUCGUUAGCUGGUCUGAGAGGAUGAUCAGCCACAUUGGGACUGAGACACGGCCCAAACUCCUACGGGAGGCAGCAGUGGGGAAUAUUGGACAAUGGGCGCAAGCCUGAUCCAGCAAUGCCGCGUGUGUGAAGAAGGUCUUCGGAUUGUAAAGCACUUUCGACGGGGACGAUGAUGACGGUACCGUAGAAGAAGCCCGGCUAACUUCGUGCCAGCAGCCGC
rnacentral:rRNA from 1 species